GUUGUGGUAGGCUUGGGUUUCAGUUAGUGACAGGGUUGGGGUUAAGUUAGGUUAGGAUUAAUACUGGGUUCGAUUAGUGUUAGUAUCAGAAUUGAGUUACAGAUCUAACCAAGGUGAGGGGUGGGGUUGAGUUAGGAUUGGAUUAGGGUUAGGAUUAGAAUCAGGCUAGAGUUUGGCUUGGGGCAAGGGUUAGAGAGGAAUUAGGGUUAGGGUUUGGUUAGAUCUAGGGUUCACAGGAGGGUUAGCAGUAGGGUUCGAUUGAGGGUUAGUGAGAAAUUAGGGUUAGGGUUUGGUUACGUUUAGGAUUUUAAAAAGUGGUAGCAGUGGGUUCGAUUCUUAAGCGUUAGAGUUAGGAUGAGAUUAGUGUUAGGUUAGAUCUAGGGUUAGGGUUAGGAUGGAAUUAGGUUUAGGGUUCGUUCGAUUGUCGGAGAACUCAGAGAGAAGAGGGAGAUGGAAAAAAAUUAAAAAAAAAGAGGUGGGAAACGUUACCUGUGAAAGCUGAGAGGCAAGAUUCGUGCUCGGUUAGCAUCAUCGAUGGAGAACGGACAAAGGAGGUCGGAGGAUGGAAGGAACAACAUGAAAUAUAG
rnacentral:lncRNA from 1 species